AAUCUACCCUCAUUGCCUUGAUUUGUGAUUCUGGAGCUGGAGCCAGUGUCAUUUCUCUUUGGUAGCUGGCAGAAUGGCAUGUCUGAGAGACAGCCACCCCGCAGUGUUCCCCUUCUGCACGCCCUCAGCCAUAGCAAGAGAUUUCCAGUAUCUCAGACCCAUGCUGUCCUAACCCGCAACAGAAGAUUUUGUGCUCACCAGUCCAUGCUUAUGGUUUCCUGCACUCUAGCCUCACCACAAAGUCUAUGGACCAUGCCUAGGCUAAGGCAAUCCAGCCAGUUGCACCGUCCUGUUGUCUGAAACUCAGCACCAGAGAGGAGAUUCCUUCCCAAGUCAGCCCCUUCCUUUGCACUGUCUCUCCGUCCUAAGAAUUCUCGUGUAUUCCUUCUUUCUGGUGUGCUAGAAGUCUCCUGCAGGAAUGUUGGAAAAUCAGCUGGAAGCUGACGUUGCUGGUCGCUGGCAUACAUGCUAUUGUACCAACUACCGAAGAGACAUAUUACCAGUUCCAACAGACUCUGCCGUGAUUCCUCACACCAAUACGGAUGCAGGGGAAGACAGAAGUUCUGGGAGGCAAUCCACCCAGAUCUUCCCUUCAUGUGAGAAAACAGCCAUUCCUCGAGACCAGACAAUACCAGGGAAGCAAGAUCCUAACAACUUCUGGGGGCUAGGUGGAAAUUCUACCAUGUGUGACCUGGAGCUGGGGAAAGAAAUGAGGGCUACCUGGCCUGCCGCUGCGUGAGGAGAGCUGCCAGCCUCAGGGCUUCAGGAC
rnacentral:lncRNA from 1 species